rnacentral:rRNA from 1 species
AGAAUCAACGCUGGCGGCGUGCCUAACACAUGCAAGUCGCACGAGAAAGUGGAGCAAUCCACGAGUAAAGUGGCGCACGGGUGAGUAACACGUGAAUGAUCUACCUCCGAGUGGGGAAAUAACUGAGAGAAAUCUUAGCUAAUACCGCAUAAUACCCACGGGUCAAAGCAGCAAUGCGCUUGGAGAGGAGUUCGCGGCCGAUUAGCUAGUUGGCGGGGUAAUGGCCCACCAAGGCGAUGAUCGGUAUCCGGCCUGAGAGGGCGCACGGACACACUGGAACUGAAACACGGUCCAGACUCCUACGGGAGGCAGCAGUGGGGAAUUUUGCGCAAUGGGGGAAACCCUGACGCAGCAACGCCGCGUGGAGGAUGAAAUCCCUUGGGAUGUAAACUCCUUUCGAUAGGGAAGAUAAUGACGGUACCUAUAGAAGAAGCCCGGCUAACUUCGUGCCAGCAGCCGC